rnacentral:lncRNA from 1 species
GGGUUAAAGCAGUGCUGGUUGAAAUUAAAAAUUUCUUCAAUUAUGUAAGCCUCCAUAAUAGAACGUUUGAUUCUGAUCUUAUUUUUCACUUUCUUCUUAAGACUGUGCAUGUAUCUUUUAAAUAAAUAUAUCCACCUGUGCUGUACUGGUCUCCCAACCCUAGCUUCAUAUGCUAGAUGAGUCAUGUGGUGCUCCAUGC